rnacentral:piRNA from 1 species
UGGUUCAUGUUGAUGAAUAUUCUUGAUUUA